GGUGGCUCAGUGGUAGAGUGCUUGCCUUGCAUGCAUGAGGCCCUGGGAUAGAUUCCUCAGCACCA
rfam:Dipodomys ordii contig_54156, whole genome shotgun sequence.